UGUCCCAAUCCAUCCCGCUUUGAUUGGAGAUGGCAGACGAGGCAGCGAUCCAGAGGAGGCCCGAGUCUCUGCGCUGAAUGAUGAUUAUGUUUCAAGAGUUUCACGUGGUGAGCUAGAAUUCAUGUCCAGCCUUUAAUAGCGCUCGUUUUCUGCCUUGUUCACUCCAUUAGCGGCGAGCAGGGGACCCGAGUGCCGGGCCCGCCGCUAAUUACGCCGUGAGGGAUGAUCGGCGAGGGCUCAUUACCGGCAGUGCGGGCCGAAACAUACUGUCUCUCUCCGGGCUAAUGAUGUUGGAUCCACGGCGAAGGGAAGCUAGCGCUCACCGCUUCAUCAAACAUCCAGGGGUUAACGCGGCUGUUGACUUCUCUCUGUCUACCUCUGCAGCGUCUCUUCUCUGAAUCCAAACCACCAACGCCACCUCAUUAACAGGAUAUGUACACAUUCAGACCAUCAGUCACACGACUACAGAAGCUAAGGACGCCACACAACCCAGCAACAGGCUCUUACCUGACACAACGAAGCAGAACUAAACACUGCCUGAUGCUCAGCCAGCGAUCUGUCACAGCUCUUUCAGCUCGCCGCUCAGAGAAGAAAACCACAGAGACUCGAGCAUGCAGCCAGUUCAACCGGAAAUGUUUUACACCUAAACAAUCCAACCGCUCGGAGCAGAAAAUGGAGCUCUGAUUUGAAUUUAGCAUUUGAUGAAAUCCAGGGAGACUUUCUAAUGAGCCCAGGCUGAUUUCAUUCACACAGUGACCAUUUCAAGCCUGACCUGCUGAUGUGUACAGAAACAUUUCACAAAUAAAACAUCAGGAUUUUAA